rnacentral:misc_RNA from 1 species
UGAUUAAAUAUUAAUUUAGUGUUAUUUAAGAAGGAAAAUGAAUCCGGAAACUUGCUAUUGCUGGUUAAAGGAACAUUUUCUAAAAUAAAAUUAAAAGUUGAAUGACUUUAUUUUAACAAAUUGAAGUUGAGUGACUUAAAUGAAAUAAUCACCUAAGUUGAAGAAUGGUCGGUGCAAUUUACCCAUGAUGGUGUCAUUUUUAUAACUAAUUGGUGCAUCUAAAGCAUUGGUGUAUGGUGGGUGGAUCAAUUUUUUGCUAUGGAAUGUGAACACAUGAAUGUGUGGAUUGAGCCUUGCAAAAUCAGGGCACCUUAGACCCUACGAAUUUAAAGACUCUGAGAUAUUGCAAGAUUAUUGUUGGUUUCAAUGAAUUCAAUUGGGUUCAUGUCUUCCUUACCAAUCUCAAGGCUAAAGCUGUCUGCCUUAUUAUGAUGAAAUGAAGAGUGUUGAAGCAAUGGGAAAGCACAGAAGGAUUUAACUAUGUUUUUCUUGUCAAUUCAUGGAGGCUUGUAGUGAUUGUUUAGAGAAAUCUUUAUGUGGUUAACAGAGGACCAGGGGCGAAAUUAUCCUCCCUAGAUGCAGCCCUAGUGAUUAAUUAUAAUUUCGCCCCU